rnacentral:rRNA from 1 species
GAGCUCGUAGGCGGUUUGUCGCGUCUGCUGUGAAAUCCCGAGGCUCAACCUCGGGCUUGCAGUGGGUACGGGCAGACUAGAGUGCGGUAGGGGAGAUUGGAAUUCCUGGUGUAGCGGUGGAAUGCGCAGAUAUCAGGAGGAACACCGAUGGCGAAGGCAGAUCUCUGGGCCGUAACUGACGCUGAGGAGCGAAAGCAUGGGGAGCGAACAGGAUUAGAUACCCUGGUAGUCCAUGCCGUAAACGUUGGGCGCUAGAUGUAGGGACCUUUCCACGGUUUCUGUGUCGUAGCUAACGCAUUAAGCGCCCCGCCUGGGGAGUACGGCCGCAAGGCUAAAACUCAAAGGAAUUGACGGGGGCCCGCACAAGCGGCGGAGCAUGCGGAUUAAUUCGAUGCAACGCGAAGAACCUUACCAAGGCUUGACAUACACCGGAAACGGCCAGAGAUGGUCGCCCCCUUGUGGUCGGUGUACAGGUGGUGCAUGGUUGUCGUCAGCUCGUGUCGUGAGAUGUUGGGUUAAGUCCCGCAACGAGCGCAACCCUCGUUCUAUGUUGCCAGCGGGUUAUGCCGGGGACUCAUAGGAGACUGCCGGGGUCAACUCGGAGGAAGGUGGGGAUGACGUCAAAUCAUCAUGCCCCUUAUGUCUUGGGCUUCACGCAUGCUACAAUGGCCGGUACAAAGGGCUGCGAUACCGUAAGGUGGAGCGAAUCCCAAAAAGCCGGUCUCAGUUCGGAUUGAGGUCUGCAACUCGACCUCAUGAAGUCGGAGUCGCUAGUAAUCGCAGAUCAGCAACGCUGCGGUGAAUACGUUCCCGGGCCUUGUACACACCGCCCGUCAAGUCAUGAAAGUCGGUAACACCCGAAGCCGGUGGCCUAACCCUUGUGGAAGGAGCCGUCGAAAGUGGGAUCGGUGAUUAGGACGAAGUCGUA